GGCGCCAUCGUCUAGCGGCUAGGACGCCUCCUUCUCAAGGAGGAAACCGGAGUUCGAUUCUCCGUGGCGCUACCA
rnacentral:tRNA from 2 species